rnacentral:misc_RNA from 1 species
CGUAACAAGGUUUCCGUAGGUGAACCUGCGGAAGGAUCAUUACUGAGUGCGGGCUGCCUCCGGGCGCCCAACCUCCCACCCGUGACUACCUAACACUGUUGCUUCGGCGGGAAGCCCUCUCGGGGGCGAGCCGCCGGGGACUACUGAACUUCAUGCCUGAGAGUGAUGCAGUCUGAGUCUGAAUAUAAAAUCAGUCAAAACUUUCAACAAUGGAUCUCUUGGUUCCGGCAUCGAUGAAGAACGCAGCGAACUGCGAUAAGUAAUGUGAAUUGCAGAAUUCAGUGAAUCAUCGAGUCUUUGAACGCACAUUGCGCCCCCUGGCAUUCCGGGGGGCAUGCCUGUCCGAGCGUCAUUGCUGCCCAUCAAGCCCGGCUUGUGUGUUGGGUCGUCGUCCCCCCCGGGGGACGGGCCCGAAAGGCAGCGGCGGCACCGUGUCCGGUCCUCGAGCGUAUGGGGCUUUGUCACCCGCUCGAUUUAGGGCCGGCCGGGCGCCAGCCGACGUCCAACCAUUUUUCUUCAGGUUGACCUCGGAUCAGGUAGGGAUACCCGCUGAACUUAAGCAUAUCAAUAAGCGGAGGAAAAGAAACCAACCGGGAUUGCCCCAGUAACGGCGAGUGAAGCGGCAAGAGCUCAAAUUUGAAAUCUGGCCCCUCCGGGGUCCGAGUUGUAAUUUGCAGAGGAUGCUUC